rnacentral:rRNA from 1 species
UACAGAGGUCUCGAGCGUUGUUCGGAUUCAUUGGGCGUAAAGGGUGCGUUAGGUGGCGUGGUAAGUCUGGUGUGAAAUCCCGGGGCUCAACCCCGGAACUGCACUGGAUACUGCCAUGCUUGAGUACUGGAGAGGAGAUUGGAAUUUACGGUGUAGCAGUGAAAUGCGUAGAUAUCGUAAGGAAGACCAGUGGCGAAGGCGAAUCUCUGGACAGUUACUGACACUGGAGGC